rnacentral:lncRNA from 1 species
UCUACGUGUAUAUCAUUGACUGUAUUGUCUUUUUAGACCAAGAGGACCAAGAGAAACAAAGUGGAGCAGAUCACUGAUACAGGUCCCUCUACAUCUGUGGAAUUCUCUGGGAUGGCAGUUCAGGGGACAUCUCACCAGGGACAAUCUAAUGAGAAGAUCCUAAGUGAGUGUGUCUCCAGGGCCUGUCAGACCAGGGCUCUUGACCUCCCGCCAAUCGAUCCGGAUGCUUUCAACCCGAUUAUCAUCCGGUUUCUGGAAAAACUUACUGAGGAGCAAUGGAGGCAGUUAAGCAUUGGCAGGAUGGACCCUGUGAUGAGGGCAUUGCUUGCAGAGAUGUGCCUGGAGAUUGUGCGGUUUGUAUCUGAGGCCAUCCUGGAGGUCAUCAUCCCUGCAAUUUUCCGUUUUGUACGGAUAUACAGCCAUGUGUCUCCAGUAUCCGGCAAGUCUCUGACAGAAUCAGAGAGAUCCUCUAGCACAAACCUGAAGGUUCGCAAGAGAGGCAGCAGCAAAUCCUCAAGGUGUUGCACGGCCAAAUCAAGCUCCUCACGUAAUGGGUAUGUUCAGUCAUUCCUAAAGAAACCGGUUUCACCUAACUAUUCAUAACCCAUUUUGUGAAAAUAUGUUUUGUUAUCUGUAUAACAGUUUACUCUUAAUGACCAGUUUAACUGAUUACUGAAUGAUGUAUUAAUGUCACUACCGUGUCUACUAUUGAAUAUGGAAUGCUGUAUUGUUUGCUUUGUAUUCUCAAAGGUCUCAGACAGUGUUGCCAAAUACUCAGGGAGAUGGUGAGUCUAUAUCAUCUGAGCCACUCAGGGACUUUUUUGGGAUCACUGAGGACAGUCUCCUCACUGGUGUCCAGGAUUCCUUCAAAGAGUUGCUGAACAAUGUCCUCUGUAUCCAAAGAGAGGACCAGGUAGACACUCAAAGUCUAUCCCGGGUUAUUGUUGGAGAAGUGUCAAAGAAGGUCAAUUCCCUAAUCUCUGUGGCCAUCC